AAAAUAAAAAUUAAUAAAUUUAAAUUUAAUAAAAAUAAUUUUAAUAUUAAAAUAAAUAAUGGGGGUUAAAGUAUUUUAAUAGAAAAAAUUAUAAAAUUUAUAGUAAAUUAGUAUAGUAAUAGAAAUUUGAAAUAGUUGAAAAUUAAUUUUUAAAAAAGUAAAUUUAAAUUAUUGUAUCUUGUGUAUCAGAGUUUAUUAAAUAAUAUUAUUAAAUAAAAAUAUCUCGAAUUUAAAAGAGUUAAUUAAUUAAUAAAGUUAAUGUAAAAUAAUUAUUUUAAAUAAUUAAUUUGAAAUGAAAUGUUAAUCGUUUUUAAAUAUAUCUAGUUAUUUUAGAAAAAAGUUUAAUUUUAAAUUUAUUUAUUAAAUAUAUUAAAUUAAUUAAUAUAAAAAAAAAAUAAAUUUUAUAAUUUAAGGGAUAAGCUUUAAAUUAAAGAGUUAUAAUAAUAAUUUAAAGUAAAUAAAAUUUUUAAAAUUUAUAUUGUUUAAAAAUUAUAAUUUAUUAUAAAAAAUUUUAAUAAAAAUAAAAUUUAAAAUAAUUUAAUUUUUUAUAAAAAUAUAAUUUGUAAUAAAAAAAUAUUAGAAAAAAUGAUAAAAUUAGUAUAAAAAUAAAAAUAAAAUUAUAAAUUAAUGUAAAGUAAUUAAAAGGAAUUCGGCAAAAAUAUAUAUUCACCUGUUUAACAAAAACAUGUCUUUUUGAAAAAUAAUUUAAAGUCUAAUCUGCCCACUGAUUUUAUAUUAAAGGGCUGCAGUAUAUUGACUGUACAAAGGUAGCAUAAUCAUUAGUCUUUUAAUUGAAGACUUGUAUGAAAGAUUUGAUGAAAUAUAAACUGUCUCUUAAUUAUUAUUAGAAUUUAAUUUUUUAGUUAAAAAGCUAAAAUUUAAUUAAAAGACGAGAAGACCCUAUAGAGUUUUAUAAUUAUUUAUUUAAUAUAUUUAUAUAAAAUUUUAAUAUUUUAAAUAAAUAAUUAUUUUAUUGGGGUGAUAAAAAAAUUUAUAAAACUUUUUUUAAAAGUAAACAAAAAUAAUUGAAUAAAUGAUCCAUAAAUAAUGAUUAAAAGAAAAAAUUACCUUAGGGAUAACAGCGUAAUAUUUUUUUUUAGUACAAAUAAAAAAAAAAGUUUGCGACCUCGAUGUUGGAUUAAGAUAAAAUUUAAAUGCAAAAGUUUAAAAUUUUGAUCUGUUCGAUCAUUAAAAUCUUACAUGAUCUGAGUUCAAACCGGUGUAAGCCAGGUUGGUUUCUAUCUUUAAUAAAAUAAAAUAUUUUA
rnacentral:rRNA from 1 species